rnacentral:lncRNA from 1 species
UUCCUGAAGAUUCCCAUAAACCAUGGAGGUGACUUGAGAAUAAGUCUGAGCCUAAAACAAAAAUCCUUUGUGAAUGAAAAAUAGUGAAGAUUAGCCAGGAAAAUGAAGUAUUUGUAUCAGGCCUCUGAACCCAAGCUAAGCCAUCAUAUCCUCUGUGACUUGCACGUACACAUCCAGAUGGCUGCUUCCUGCCUUAACUGAUGGCAUUCCACCACAAAAGAAGUGAAAUUUGGUACCAUGACUCAGAUCGGGGAACCUCUCUUGGGAGAUCAAUCCCCUGUCCUCCUGCUCUUUGCUCCAUGGAAAAGAUCCACCUACGACCUCGGGUCCUCAGACCCACCAGCCCAAGGAACAUCUCACCAAUUUUAAAUCGGGUAAGUGGCCUCUUCUUACUCUCUUCUCCAACCUCUCUCACUAUCCCUCAACUACUUUCUCCUUUCAAUUUUGGCACCACCCUUCAAUCUCUCCCUUCUCUUAAUUUCAAUUCCUUUCAUUUUCUGGUAGAGACAAAGGAGACACGUUUU